rnacentral:lncRNA from 1 species
GUGCCAAUGAGUCUGAGAGGAGUGGCCCUCUUCCAUUGUUAUUCAACAAUUUUGAGAUCCAUUGGCACUAUUGGUCAUGGCCCAGCCAACAACUUCAAAAGGUUUGAAAGGAAAAUUCCUAAUGAGAUGCACAGAAUGCCAGGAAUGUGUUCAUGUGCGGUCUACAAAAUGCCAGAGAUGUGGGUACAACUUUAAAGCUCGUCGGAUGGAAAGCAAAAAAAAAAAUGGAAGAAUCUCUCCUCCUUAUUGGAAAGAAGGUAGCAGAACGAAACAACAUCUCCCGGGCUUACAGAGCCAUUGAGAAGCAGAUGGCAAAAAUGCGUGGUGCUGGGUAUGAAACCAUGUUCAUCUAUUAAAAAAAAGCACUCCAUAAAGCUACUCAAGGCAUUUUGCCAGCAGAUUGCCUAACAGCAGCAGACUGUAAAUCAAUAAGCAAUAUCUUCCAUUUGUAUCGCAAGAGGAAGAUGGAGGCUGCAAAAUUAAACCAACUCACAGUUGAACAUAAUGAUUCUGUGACACCAUUGACUAGAGAUUCUAAUGGCAUUGGAUCUGCUAAUGACAAGACAACAGACAUGGAAGAAUCUGGAAUACAGCAGAUAAAUAAAUAAAUGUUUAUUUAGGUAAGGUACAUACAUACAAGAGAUUUUACAAAGUUUGUUGGAUUAAUAGAUAGAGCUAGUACAUA